rnacentral:pre_miRNA from 1 species
GGUGCGACCGGAUGAUGGUUCACAACGACCGUACCCUUAUCAAACUGGUCGGUGGGACUUUCGUCCGUUUGCAAC